ensembl:snoRNA
UGCCUAUAGUCCCAGCUACUUAAGAGGGUGAGACAAGAGGAUUGCUUGAUCACAAGAGUUUGAGAAGGUGUAAAUUAAACGCUUUGCAGCCUUUUCCUGCCCUUAAAUUUGAUAUCUUUGGCGUAGGGACUGCAUAAGUAACAGUC